rnacentral:rRNA from 1 species
UUGCCUUAGUAGCGGCGAGUGAAGCGGCAAAAGCUCAAAUUUGAAAUCUGGCGCCUUCGGUGUCCGAGUUGUAAUUUGAAGAUUGUAACCUUGGGGUUGGCUCUUGUCUAUGUUUCUUGGAACAGGACGUCACAGAGGGUGAGAAUCCCGUGCGAUGAGAUGCCCAAUUCUAUGUAAGGUGCUUCGAAGAGUCGAGUUGUUUGGGAAUGCAGCUCUAAGUGGGUGGUAAAUUCCAUCUAAAGCUAAAUAUUGGCGAGAGACCGAUAGCGAACAAGUACAGUGAUGGAAAGAUGAAAAGAACUUUGAAAAGAGAGUGAAAAAGUACGUGAAAUUGUUGAAAGGGAAGGGUUUGAGAUCAGACUCGAUAUUUUGUGAGCCUUGCCUUCGUGGCGGGGUGACCCGCAGCUUAUCGGGCCAGCAUCGGUUUGGGCGGUAGGAUAAUGGCGUAGGAAUGUGACUUUACUUCGGUGAAGUGUUAUAGCCUGCGUUGAUGCUGCCUGCCUAGACCGAGGACUGCGAUUUUAUCAAGGAUGCUGGCAUAAU